rnacentral:rRNA from 1 species
UGGAGGGGUAACGGCCCACCAAGGCGACGAUCAGUAGCCGGUCUGAGAGGAUGAACGGCCACAUUGGAACUGAGACACGGUCCAGACUCCUACGGGAGGCAGCAGUGGGGAAUAUUGGGCAAUGGACGCAAGUCUGACCCAGCAACGCCGCGUGAAGGAAGAAGGCUUUCGGGUCGUAAAGCUCUGUCCUUGGGGAAGAAAAAAUGACGGUACCCUUGGAGGAAGCCCCGGCUAACUAC